AGAAGCCGCACUGGCUGGUGCUGGGUGAGCUCCACCGCUGCCCGGGCUGCGAGCCUGACGGCUGUGUGUCGGGAAUGACGAGACCCAGGCUUGCAAAGACUUGCACGGCAACUGGAAUUUAUGACAAAUAGCUCACUGCAGCUAAACUUUGAUACAGUGUACAGUAGAACCGCCUGUUACACACAGGAGGGAGACGCGUCCUUCGUCACCAUGCAAAGCCAGCCUUAACACAACAUAGGAAAAUGUGGCAGGUCUCUAAUUACGGACUGGUGAGUAUAUGACGCCAGAUCAAUUUUAAUGUGUGUGUUCUCUCUUCAAGCAUCUGGAGGUAUGUGCCCUUUUUACCUUUUUCAUGAUUAAAAAAAUAUGAGUUGGUGCUAAUGCAUGGGAGGGGACCUGGGCCCCUUGGAGAGGAGAGUGUGCCCCUCGCCACCCCGCGCCUGGGGUACAUUCUGACCUCGCGUCUCCGCACUGCACAGACAAAGGAGCCUGCACAGACAAACAGAGGCUGUAGCUUUUCUUGGAGCGAUGACUCAUUUCAGUUCACAAAGGAUUCUGGGCAGGGCAGUGAGAAGUCAGGUUGGCUGAUCCGUCCCUGUGACUUCACUUUGCAGAGAACAAGCAGAAGAGGAGUGACACUGCAGAUUCCGAGGCACUGCAGUGGGAUGUUGGCUCAGCAAGUGGCUGUGAUGUACGGGAUAGGCAUGGAACAGGAUUCCAGCUGUUCCAUGCAAAUAGGAUAAAAGAAUGGUAAAGAGGAUUCCUUUUUUUUUCCCUCCUCAAAACGUUACCAGCAAAGUACAUUCACAGAGCCUUUUUAAGGUGCCUUUUGCCAGCUUUUGAACUGAACUUGUACCAGUAUCUCAAGCCCUGAAUUGUAAGAAGAGCUGAGAGUUCUGGAACUCAUUUUUAAAAAGUAGAUCUACGAAGAUUCUAGGACGUCCGUUUCUGUUACUGGCUCCUUCUUGUGCUUGGAUGCAGCUCCCUAGCAUGCACCAGGCUUUAGCGUCAGUGCUACCUGGGGGAUGGAGCCAGUCCAGAAAGGGCCAGGUAGGUUUCCCCUGCUUUUAUUUCAACAGUUGUUGUGUGCAAAGGAAUAUGGUGAAAUGUCAGCACCACCCGUGAAGAGGGUGCACGGUCCUCUGAGAAGUCUUGCUGUUCCGCUCCUCCCGCAGCCUCAAUCUUAGGCAGUCCAGGUCCUCCCACUGUGGGCUGCCCACCACACACGACCUCACCAGCCCAGGUCAUCCCAGAGCUGCUCACGGGGACCGAGAAGUCCACAGCAGCAGGAUUUGCCAAUAGGAAAUAAUCAGACUGCCCCAGAUUUCCCUCAGCUGUAUAUCUAUCUCGCUCGCUGCUCUGAGGGAGGCAUUCAGUAAAUAGUAUUUGACAUUUUUUCUGGUUUUUUUUUUUUUUUUUUUUUUUUGUUUGUUUGGUUUGGUUUGGUUUUUUGAGACAGAGUUUUGCUCUUGUUGCCCAGGCUGGAGUGCAAUGGUGUGAUCUCAGCUCACUGCAACCUCCGCUUCCCGGGUUCAAGCGAUUCUUCUGCCUCAGCCUCUUGAGUAGCUGGGAUUACAGGCACGUGCCACCACGCCUGGCUAAUUUUGUAUUUUUAGUAGGGACGGGGUUUCUCCACAUUGGUUAGGCUGGUCUUGAACUUCUGACCUCUGUUGACCUGCCUGCCUUGGCCUCCCAAAGUGCUGGGAUUACAGGCGUGAGCCACUGUGCCCGGCCUCGACAUUUUUUCUUACCAAUUAAUAUAUAGUGCCCGAAAUUUUGCAUACUGUUUGGCCUGUUAACCUACAUGCAAUGCACUAAAAUCCAAGAAAGCCUGAUUUAUGUGCCCAGGGACUGUUUCCAAGACUAACAUCAUAUUGAGGCUGCUGUUAACUGCUAAGGAAGUAAGCAUAUUUCAUCAUAGUCUGCUUUAGGAUUCAGAUUAUGACAGAGCUGUUUUCUUACAACAUCCAUGGGCUUUUCACACGAAAGCUUUUUAAAAAAACAUGACAACGAAAUGGUAAAUUUUGGUCCUCAAAAGUACAUUACAUGCCUCAUUUCCAAAGUGAGACUUGGCACAUCUGAAAGCAUGGCUUUACCCCCUCAUCACAUGGAUGGUUUCAGCACUGUUACAGAUAUUUCUGAGAGUGUUGAAUCCCGUAUGUAAUAGGUAAGAAUUUUUAGAACAUGUUUAAAGGCAGAUGUUCAAGACCCCUUGAACAUCUUCUUUCUCUUCGCAGUCACAUCCAUCUCAUAGCUCACCCUGUCACAGAAGAAAAGAGAGCAUGUUUCCUUUCUCCACUGUCAGAGGUCUCUUCUUUCUGCAUAGCAGUUUGCAUCUUCAGAGCAACGUUGAGGAUGCUGAGUCAGGUUUAAAGGAUGUUUGGUCAGAAAAAACACAAGCAUGGUAUGUUGCAAAUACAGUUCCAUCAUGUCCUCACACCCAUCAAUUCUACCCAUCCUUAAGGACCUAUUCCAAAUCUCUGUCCCCUGGAAAGUUCUCCCUAAUCACCCCAACAGGAGGUCAUUUCUAAAUCCUUGAAACUCCCAUUAUAGAGUUAAGUUUCUAUUCAUUCAUGUGUUUUCUUGCUAUAGCUCUUCUAAGGGUGUUUUGAACAGCAAUGUGUAUAUUUCAUGAUGCUUUAUAUUUUCACACAUGUAUAUCUUAUAUUCCCACCUAAAUUGUAAUCUCAUUGAAGGCAGAGAUCAAGAUUUAUGCUUUUUUCUGCUGUCUACAUCUCCUAGCAGUUCCCUACACAUGGAACCCUUUCAAUAAAUAGUUGAAUAGGAAGAGGGGCAGUUUAAAAAGCAGGAUUUUUUUUUUUUUUUUUUUUUUUUUUUUUUUUUUUUUGGUCAUAGAGAGUUAGAAUGAUCUGGUUUUGCUAAUUUUAAGAAUCUUCACAGGGUAUAUUCAGGCUAAGGUGGACCUCAGGAGUCAUGCAUGCCACUCUAGAAGUUGUGAUGGUUCUUACCCUGAGACAGUGUCACAGCCAGGAAGCUGCCUUACCCUGCUUGUAAAGAACUGUUGCCGUAAAGGACAAAUGAGCAUGUGGACAUUGAUCACGGUUUACUUGAAUUAUAUUGGACAAGCCAUCCUUAAGUUAUGAGGAGUAUGCCGAAUUCGGGAAGUUUAGGUGAAAGUCACUUUUUUGACUCCUACAGGACAUUUUCCUUAGAAGAAAGAGCCAGAAUGGUUACUAAUAAUUCGGAUCAUAUCAGAAAUUAUUUAACUCCUGGUGUCACUGAUUUUUAAUACUAAGAGUACUUAUUUAAGUCCUGAGUUUCCUUUCCCUUUCUUAGGUAAUGGAUUGGCCCAACCUAAGUUUUGAAAUAGGUCAACAUCCUUUGAUAUCCUUGUAAUUCUCUAUCCACACUAUUUCCCAUCUCCUAGUGCCUUUUUCUCUCCAAAGUCCCUAGUGUAAUGCAUGUUUGCACUCCCAGCCUGGUGAUGCAUCCCAAAUGCUAUGUGUUCUAUAUAUCUGAUUAAAGUAAUCUUAUUAAACUACUUCAUACUAGUAUAAGGAAGACCUCUGCACUCUUAGCCUUCCCAAAGAUAUUUUAGUUUUUUAAAAAGGCUUAUUUUUAGGUACAAACAAAUUUUCCAUUGGUAGAAAUUCAAACACUGUAAAUGAGUAAAUUGGAUAAAUCUAGAUGGGCUUGAGGAAGAAUUUUUUUUUUUUUUUGACGGAGUCUUUCCUUGUUUCCCAGGCUGGAGUGCAAUGGCACGGUCUUGGCUCACUGCAACCUCCGCCUCCUGGGUUCAAGUGAUUCUCCCGCCUCAGCCACCCGAGUAGCUGGGAUUACAGGCAUCUGCCACCACGCCUGGCUAAUUUUUUGUGUUUUUCGUAGUGAUGGGGUUUCUCCAUGUUGGCCAGGCUGGUCUUGAACUCCUGACCUGAUCCACCCACCUCGACCUCCCAAAGUGCUGGGAUUACAAGCAUGAGCCACCGCGCCCGGCCAGGGAAGAUAUUUUUAAUACUAGCUACUAUUUAUUAAACAUGUAUUAGGUCUCAGGGACAGGGUAAGCACUCAACAUCCAUUAUCUCAUUUAAUCCCCUCAGUGAGUCUACAAGGUAAACAUCAUUAUGUAUACUUCACAAAAGAAAAAAUUGAAACUCAAAAAAUUAAAUAAUUUGCCCCAAAUCACACAACCAGUGAGGAGCAGAACUGGGCUCUGAACCUAAAGUUUUGACUACAAAGCCCAUGGCUUUUAACACCAUCUUGUAAUGCUGAAUUGAAGAGAGAAAAGUUACUUAAUUGUACAGCGACUUAGACGUUUCCUCUGUGUAUCUGAUCUGAUCCCCUAUCCUUUCUUUCAUGCCUCUGAAUUCUGACAUAGUCCUUUCAUAAUGACCUCCAUGGCAGUUGGAAGGGGUAGAAGCGUGUUCGGUUUUAGGGGGGUUGGUUGGUAGCAGUCAAUCGGUACAAUUUUGUUGUAAUUUGGGAACUGUCAACCUGUCCAUAUUUGUAGUUUAUUUAAUUAGGCCUUCCUGUCCUAUUACAAUUGUAUUUUACAGAAAUCAG
rnacentral:lncRNA from 1 species